GUCUCGGUAGCUCAGUCGGCAGAGCGCGUGCCUUUUAAGCCCGUGGCCGCGGGUUCGAGCCCCGCCCGAGAUG
rnacentral:tRNA from 1 species